rnacentral:ncRNA from 1 species
UUACAGGCCGAGAAAGAGUCAGUAAAUGAUUACAAAUCGAUUUCAGGGAGGAAAUGCCGUAGACUGGAAGCAUUUCUGUCGUGGUAAUGAUUGAAUUUUCACUCUGGAGCCGACACUUGGACCUUGUUUUCUGGCAAGUAACGGUGUUCCGGAUUUAUUCCGUUAUCAAACUCGAGUGGGUGCAUUAAGGCACCAACAAGGGUGGUACCGCGAUACACAAGUCUCGUCCCUUCU